UCGAACGGUAACAGGAAGAAGCUUGCUUCUUUGCUGACGAGUGGCGGACGGGUGAGUAAUGUCUGGGAAACUGCCUGAUGGAGGGGGAUAACUACUGGAAACGGUAGCUAAUACCGCAUAACGUCGCAAGACCAAAGAGGGGGACCUUCGGGCCUCUUGCCAUCGGAUGUGCCCAGAUGGGAUUAGCUAGUAGGUGGGGUAACGGCUCACCUAGGCGACGAUCCCUAGCUGGUCUGAGAGGAUGACCAGCCACACUGGAACUGAGACACGGUCCAGACUCCUACGGGAGGCAGCAGUGGGGAAUAUUGCACAAUGGGCGCAAGCCUGAUGCAGCCAUGCCGCGUGUAUGAAGAAGGCCUUCGGGUUGUAAAGUACUUUCAGCGGGGAGGAAGGGAGUAAAGUUAAUACCUUUGCUCAUUGACGUUACCCGCAGAAGAAGCACCGGCUAACUCCGUGCCAGCAGCCGCGGUAAUACGGAGGGUGCAAGCGUUAAUCGGAAUUACUGGGCGUAAAGCGCACGCAGGCGGUUUGUUAAGUCAGAUGUGAAAUCCCCGGGCUCAACCUGGGAACUGCAUCUGAUACUGGCAAGCUUGAGUCUCGUAGAGGGGGGUAGAAUUCCAGGUGUAGCGGUGAAAUGCGUAGAGAUCUGGAGGAAU
rnacentral:rRNA from 1 species